AUUGAACGCUGGCGGCAGGCCUAACACAUGCAAGUCGAGCGGAUGAAGGGAGCUUGCUCCUGGAUUCAGCGGCGGACGGGUGAGUAAUGCCUAGGAAUCUGCCUGGUAGUGGGGGAUAACGUCCGGAAACGGGCGCUAAUACCGCAUACGUCCUGAGGGAGAAAGUGGGGGAUCUUCGGACCUCACGCUAUCAGAUGAGCCUAGGUCGGAUUAGCUAGUUGGUGGGGUAAAGGCCUACCAAGGCGGCGAUCCGUAACUGGUCUGAGAGGAUGAUCAGUCACACUGGAACUGAGACACGGUCCAGACUCCUACGGGAGGCAGCAGUGGGGAAUAUUGGACAAUGGGCGAAAGCCUGAUACAGCCAUGCCGCGUGUGUGAAGAAGGUCUUCGGAUUGUAAAGCACUUUAAGUUGGGAGGAAGGGCAGUAAGUUAAUACCUUGCUGUUUUGACGUUACCAACAGAAUAAGCACCGGCUAACUUCGUG
rnacentral:rRNA from 1 species